GACCAGACUCCUACGGGAGGCAGCAGUGGGGGAUAUUGCACAAUGGGGGGAACCCUGAUGCAGCGACGCCGCGUGGGUGAAGGAGCGUUUCGGCGCGUAAAGCCCUAUCGGCAGGGAAGAAGAAAGACGGUACCCGACCAAGAAGCCCCGGCUAACUACGUGCCAGCAGCCGCGGUAAUACGUAGGGGGCGAGCGUUAUCCGGAUUCACUGGGUGUAAAGGGAGCGUAGACGGCCAAGCAAGCCAGGGGUGAAAGCCCGGGGCCCAACCCCGGGACUGCCCUUGGAACUGCUUGGCUGGAGUGCGGGAGGGGCAGGCGGAAUUCCUGGUGUAGCGGUGAAAUGCGUAGAUAUCAGGAGGAACACCGGCGGCGAAGGCGGCCUGCUGGACCGCGACUGACGUUGAGGCUCGAAAGCGUGGGGAGCGAACAGGAUUAGAUACUGGUAA
rnacentral:rRNA from 1 species